ACCCCUGUCAAACCAGCGUGAUGAUUGUGUGUUCAUGCUCCAUGCAUGACAUGUGCCUCCUUUGAACCUUGUUACAACCUCAGCACAUUAUCCAUCUGAUG
rnacentral:snoRNA from 1 species